rnacentral:rRNA from 1 species
GACGAACGCUGGCGGCGUGCUUAACACAUGCAAGUCGAACGGUGAACCCGCUUCGGUGGGGGAUCAGUGGCGAACGGGUGAGUAACACGUGGGCAACCUGCCCCCGGCUCUGGGAUAACCCCAAGAAAUUGGGGCUAAUACCGGAUGUGACCGCUGACCGCAUGGUCUGGUGGUGGAAAGAUUUAUCGGCUGGGGAUGGGCCCGCGGCCUAUCAGCUUGUUGGUGGGGUAGUGGCCUACCAAGGCGACGACGGGUAGCCGGCCUGAGAGGGUGACCGGCCACACUGGGACUGAGACACGGCCCAGACUCCUACGGGAGGCAGCAGUGUGGAAUAUUGCGCAAUGGGCGGAAGCCUGACGCAGCGACGCCGCGUGGGGGAUGACGGCCUUCGGGUUGUAAACCUCUUUCAGCAGGGACGAAGCCGUGAGGUGACGGUACCUGCAGAAGAAGCACCGGCCAACUACGUGCCAGCCGCCGCCGUAACAC